GAUGAACGCUGGCGGCGUGCCUAAUACAUGCAAGUCGAGCGAAUGGAUUAAGAGCUUGCUCUUAUGAAGUUAGCGGCGGACGGGUGAGUAACACGUGGGUAACCUGCCCAUAAGACUGGGAUAACUCCGGGAAACCGGGGCUAAUACCGGAUAAUAUUUUGAACUGCAUGGUUCAAAAUUGAAAGGCGGCUUCGGCUGUCACUUAUGGAUGGACCCGCGUCGCAUUAGCUAGUUGGUGAGGUAACGGCUCACCAAGGCAACGAUGCGUAGCCGACCUGAGAGGGUGAUCGGCCACACUGGGACUGAGACACGGACCAGACUCGUACGGGAGGCAGCAGUAGGGAAUCUUCCGCAAUGGACGAGAGUCUGACGGAGCAACGCCGCGUGAGUGAUGAAGGCUUUCGGGUCGUAGAACUCUGUUGUUAGGGAAGAACAAGUGCUAGUUGAAUAAGCUGGCACCUUGACGGUACCUAACCAGAAAGCCACGGCUAACUACGUGCCAGCCGCCGCCGUAA
rnacentral:rRNA from 1 species